rnacentral:misc_RNA from 1 species
CAUAUACAGCAACGAUAAAUACUUUGUGAGAAAUUGGCUACUUGACUUUGGCUUCAUUAAAGCAAAUAGAGGAUAUAAGCUUUUCCACAUUCCACGAUGCUGAAAAACAAUAAAAUCACUGCAUAUGAAACAACCCACAAUUUCAUGCUUUUCUUUCUUUAGACCUACUUUGGACAUAAUAACUACUAAACCAAGGCAUCUGUGCAAAAACACAAUGUGCCAAUCCCCUACUAAGCCUGGUUGCCACCACCUUGAGGACGGAGGUCCAUGCGUCCACGUCCGCGUCCGCGUCCAUAACCUCUGCCUCCUCCAUAUCCAGAGUCACGAUCUUCCCAUCCACCUCGGCCCCAGUUUGAGUAACCACCAUUUCCUCUGCCCCUGUUUGAGUAACCACCAUUUUC